CCAAGGUUAGCUUGGCCCACACCUAGGAAUGACCGAGGAGAGUUUGGAGGUUAAAGGCGAGAUGGAGUGGGUCAGGUGUCUUUCACUGUCAUAAUUUUCUCACUGUUAUUAAUUUUUGCAGAGGCAGUUUGAGGCCCUGCAGAUGACUCUGGCCAUGUUGACAGCUUCGGGCUCAACCAUCCACGGCCCCUUCCCCACUGCAGUCCCCUGACCUCCCUUCCCCUGCUCCCAAGAAGAUGGGUCCCGGCUCAACCUCAGCGCUUUUCGCCCGCUUAGCUCCUCCCACCCGGCACUGGCUCCUCCCACUUGGCAUCAGCUCCUUCGACCGGGGCUUCGACUUCUCCCACCCGACCUCGGCUCCUCCCACGCAGCCUCGGUUACCCUCUCCGCCACCCGCUGGACCUCGGCUUCCAGGGCCCUGCCUCGCUACAGAGCGCUCACUGGUGCGGUUUACAAUCCUAGCUACAGAGUGCUGAUUGGUGUGUUUUACAAUCCUCUUGUAAAACAGGAAAGUUCUCCAAGUCCCCACUCGACCCAGGAAGUCCAGCUGGCUUCACCUCUCAUUGAGUUUGCAGGAUGGCAGGCUUAUGGGUGUCCUACGAUCUGCCAUUUGUUUGGAAGCUGGAGAACCAAGAAAGCUGGUAGUCUUGCUCCAGUCCAAGCUCAAAGACCUGAAAACAGGGGAGCCAACAGUGUAAACCCCAGUGUGAAGUCCAAAGGCUUGAGAACCAGGAGGGCCAAUGGUGUAAGUUGCGAGUCUGAGUCUGAAGGCUGGAGAACCAGAAGCACCCGUAUCUGAGGUGGGGAGAAGACCGAUGUUCCAUUUCAAGUACCUUUUGUGGUUUCCCUACAUCCUGUUCACAAUUCUGUGAGGAGCCCCUUGAUAUAAACUGCGCUUGAAUCAUCCCAGUUGACGUGUGUGUCAACUGUUUCCUGCUGGGACUCUUGAUAUUCCAACUUCCUGAACAUGUAAGGAAAAGCCCUAACAAUGACCUAUAAAACCCCACAAGAUCAGGAUCUGCAUCUCCGAUUACCCUCUAAUCCCUGAAUCCCUAUUUUACCUGAGUCAUACUGGCCUCUGUGCUGUGGGUCUUUGCAUGCCAACAGUCCUCUUGCCACAAGUUCCUACUCAAUAGUCUCUCCUCAAAUGCACCUUAACUGGGGGCCUUUUCCUUCCUAUGCUACAUAAAAUGGAAAGUCCCCAGCCCUCCGUAACUCUCUCACAAUGCUUUAUUUUUCUGCACAACAUGAAUAUUGUUGAUUUUUCUUUUUCGAUGGAGUCUUGCUCUGUUGCCCAGGCUGGAGUGCAGUGGCGCGAUCUCGGCUCAUUGCAACCUCCACCUCCCAGGAUGAAGCGAUUCUCCUGCCUCAGCCUCCUGAUUAGCUGAGCGCACCACCACACCCAGCUAAUUUUUUUGUAUUUUUAGUAGAGAUGGCGUUUCACCAUGUUGGUCAGGCCGGUCUCAAACUCCUGACCUCAUGAUCUGCCCCAGCCUCCCAAAGUAUUGGAAUUACAGGCGUGAGUCACAGCGCCCGGCCAUGUUGUUGAUUUUUCUAUAAUUCACCCCUCCCCGUUAGGAUGUAAGUGCCUCAAUGGCAAAACUUGAGUUUCAUUCACUGCUCUAGACAUGGCAUCUCAAACAGUGCUUAGCCACAUGGAAUGUACUCAAUGAACAGGCUAGUGGUUAUGAGAAUCACCUGUCUGGAUUCCAAUCUGUGCUCUACCACUUACUAGCUGGUGAACUCAGGCAAGCAACCUAGACAUUUCCAUGCCAGUUUUCCCAUCUGUAAGUUGGAGACAGUAAUAGCACAGUUUGCAAGCUUAUAGUGAGGACGCAGUUAAUAUUUAUAAGGCACUUUGAAGAGCGCCUGGUCUAUAGGAUGGGCUAGCGAAAUGUUUGAUCUCUUUUUGUUAAUAUAUUUUCAUAUUACAAUUAUUUGGUAUGAAAAGGUAUGGCCCCUACUGAAAAUAAAUAAAUUCACAGGAGAAUAUCUAAACCUCUACGCACCUAGUUACAUUACACAUAAACAUAUAUAAAGUAAAAAUGACAGAAUUACAGAAAGAAUUUGUUAAUCUACCAUGCUAGUGGAAGACUUUAAUAUACCUCUAUCACUAAGUCAGGUCG
rnacentral:lncRNA from 1 species